rnacentral:rRNA from 1 species
UAGGGAAUCUUCGGCAAUGGGGGGAACCCUGACCGAGCAACGCCGCGUGAGUGAAGAAGGUUUUCGGAUCGUAAAGCUCUGUUGUUAAGGAAGAACGAGUGUGAGAAUGGAAAGUUCAUGCUGUGACGGUACUUAACCAGAAAGGGACGGCUAACUACGUGUCAGCAGCCGCGGUAAUACGUAGGUCCCGAGCGUUGUCCGGAUUUAUUGGGCGUAAAGCGAGCGCAGGCGGUUAGAAAAGUCUGAAGUGAAAGGCGGUGGCUCAACCAUUGUAGGCUUUGGAAACUGUAUAACUUGAGUGCAGAAGGGGAGAGUGGAAUUCCAUGUGUGGCGAUGAAAUGCGUAGAUAUAUGGAGGAACACCGGUGGCGAAAGCGGCUCUCUGGUCUGUAACUGACGCUGAGGCUCGAAAGCGUGGGGAGCGAACAGG